rnacentral:rRNA from 1 species
AGCAGCCGCGGUAAUUCCAGCUCCAAUAGCGUAUAUUAAAGUUGUUGCAGUUAAAAAGCUCGUAGUUGAAUUUCGGGACUAACAGGUUGGUCGCGCCUUUGGUGUGUACUGGUCUAGUUGGUUUCUCCCUUCUGAUGAACCACGAUGUCAUUAAUUUGGUGUCGCGGGGAAUCAGGACUGUUACUUUGAAAAAAUUAGAGUGUUUAAAGCAGGCAUUAGCUUGAAUACAUUAGCAUGGAAUAAUGAAAUAGGACGUUUGAUCUUAUUUUGUUGGUUUU